CGUCGGUUCCUCGCGACGAUAGGCUACAAACUCCGCCAGGCCCGGAAGGGAGCAACGGUAGUAGCUGAUUCGGGUGCCGGGGUUCGGCCGGCGGGA
rnacentral:SRP_RNA from 2 species